rnacentral:rRNA from 1 species
AACGAACGCUGGCGGCAUGCCUAACACAUGCAAGUCGAACGAGACCUUCGGGUCUAGUGGCGCACGGGUGCGUAACGCGUGGGAACCUGCCUUUAGGUUCGGAAUAACUCAGAGAAAUUUGAGCUAAUACCGGAUGAUGUCUUCGGACCAAAGAUUUAUCGCCUUUAGAUGGGCCCGCGUUUGAUUAGCUAGUUGGUGGGGUAUAGGCCUACCAAGGCGACGAUCCAUAGCUGGUCUGAGAGGAUGAUCAGCCACACUGGGACUGAGACACGGCCCAGACUCCUACGGGAGGCAGCAGUGGGGAAUAUUGGACAAUGAGCGAAAGCCUGAUACAGCAAUGCCGGGUGAGUGAUGAAGGCCUUAGGGUUGUAAAGCUCUUUUACCCGAGAUGAUAAUGACAGUAUCGGGAGAAUAAGCACCGGCUAACUCCGUG